rnacentral:lncRNA from 1 species
GCUCGACCCUUGAAGAUGGCAGGCCAAUCUCGAGCGGGAUCAUAGCCUCUGUCCCGUAGGCCAAACUGAACGGCGACUCCCCGGUCGGGAUGCGGGGGGUCGUUCGGUAAGCCCACAGAAUGGAGCCCAGUUCGUCGACCCAGAGACCUUUGGCUUCAUUCAGUCGGGUCUUGAGUCCAUGGAGCAAGGUUCGGUUGGUCACCUCAACCUCACCAUUGGACUGUGGGUGCCCGACUGAAGUUAGUCGGUGGCGGAUGUGGAAC